UAACUGCCAUUUUACCCUCCUGAGCUUGUCCCCUGGGACUAGAUGUUGCUGGAAAGGAAGAAUGGAACUAACCGCUCCCGGAAGCCACAGGCAGAAAAUAACAUUGAAACGAACUGCAGCCCCAACAGCCCAGGGGCCACACAACAGCAACCCUCCACCCUUUUUUAAUCCAACUGUAAUCCAAUAAAAACUCAAAGCCCCCACCCUUCAAGGCUGGUGUAUCUCUCUGCACACCUAGCCCUUUCCUUCCCUGGGGAAAGUAAAAAUAACCCUUUCCUCUCCAAACUUUCUUCUCUUAGUGAAUUCUUUCACAGCCCACGUCACCAACCACCCUCACAAGUAUUUCUGCACAAACGUCAAUAAAAAUAUGUGAUUCAAUGCUGUCUUUUAACUUGCAAACCCUUCUUUUGUCAGGUUUAAUUCAAAGGCCCCCAACAACUGAACCCAAGAGAGCAGAGGAGAAGAUUUUCCUCCCUGACAACCUUAUGAUCUAGUAUUUCCAAUACUUUUUUACUAAUGCUGAAUUUUAAAGCUUCAUCAUGUGCCACUAAGAGAGUGAGCAUGUACAGUUAUUAUAUUAGCAGCACUGUAUUUGGAAGCUACGAGCAAGGUAAUUACUGCCCUGGCUGCCCCUGCCCACUCCACCCACUCUGGAAUUUGGAAGUAAGAUUGGAAUCAGACACAGAGGAGAUUUGUCAAGGGACCCAGAAGAGACGUCUGAAUCCUUUCGUGAGCCCUGCUCAGAGAUCUCCUGAACUCAAGAGACAACUUGGAAAGGAAAUGCCCAGAGGGGAUAAUCCCCAGAGAGAAGGGUCUCAGGUACGUUGAAUUGCAUGACAUCCCGUGUGGAGUUCCUCAGAGAUGCAAAGUGCUCACUGCAGGACAGAGAACAUUCACAAAAGCCUGGGCUGCACCUGCUGGCUACCUAGGAGGUAAAGACCCAACCAGAGAAAGCAAGAGCCCAAGGGAAACUGGUUUUAUUCUCCAAAGUAAAAAAAGAGCUAGAAGCAACUGGGGAUUCCAUAUUACCGUUACAACUUCAGAAGUCAGGGAUUAUAGAUAAGAGCCAGAUUAUAUACUUUGUUAUGCAUUUUCCUGAGGAUGACGUCCAGUCAGUUACCCUGUGGAGAGUAGUUAUAAAGCUUAUUUAAAAAACAAAAGGCCUGUACUGGUCAGAGUAGCCCGGUUGGAAAAACCAAAGAGUUUUUAUUUUUUGAGCACUAAACCUGAGGGAGAGGGGGUGCCCUGAGAAAGAGUAGAGGAAAGUGGGGGCAAAAGAGGUGCAGAAGCUAAGGGGUGAAAAGGCCCCACCCUGGAAAGGUUCUGCAGCUGCUGAGAGGAGCCCGCUAAGUGAGCAU